rnacentral:rRNA from 1 species
CCUACGGGAGGCAGCAGUGGGGAAUAUUGCGCAAUGGGCGAAAGCCUGACGCAGCAACGCCGCGUGAGGGAUGAAGGCCUUCGGGUUGUAAACCUCUUUCGAGCAGGGACGAUAAUGACGGUACUGGUGGAAGAAGCACCGGCUAACUCUGUGCCAGCAGCCGCGGUAAGACGUAGGGGGCCAGCGUUGUUCGGAAUUACUGGGUGUAAAGGGUUCGUAGGCGGUGUGGCAAGUUGGGAGUGAAAUCUCUGGGCUUAACCCAGGGGCUGCUUCCAAAACUGCUGUGCUUGAGUGUGGGAGAGGCGCGUGGAAUUGCAGGUGUAGCGGUGAAAUGCGUAGAUAUCUGCAGGAACACCCGUGGCGAAAGCGGCGCGCUGGACCACUACUGACGCUGAGGAACGAAAGCUAGGGGAGCAAACAGGAUUAGAUACCCUGGUAGUCCUAGCCCUAAACGAUGAUUGCUUGGUGUAGCAGGCACCCAAUCCUGCUGUGCCGCAGCUAACGCGUUAAGCAAUCCGCCUGGGGAGUACGGCCGCAAGGUUGAAACUCAAAGGAAUUGACGG